GCCGGUUUGGCUCAGUGGGUAGAGUAUUGGCCUGUGAACCAAAGGGUGUUGGGUUUGAUUCCAGUCAAGGGGCA
rnacentral:tRNA from 1 species